AUCCAGUUGACCAGUCCCAAGUCGGAUGAAACGUACGUCCUGGAU
rnacentral:hammerhead_ribozyme from 1 species